rnacentral:tRNA from 1 species
GGGGAUUUAGCUCAGUGGCAUAAGCACCUGCCUUGCAUGCAGGAGGCCGUGAGUUCGAUCCCCA